rnacentral:misc_RNA from 1 species
UCCGGUUUGUCACCGGCAGUCCCAUUAGAGUGCUCAACUGAAUGUAGCAACUACCGACGAGGGUUGCGCUCGUUGCGGGACUUAACCCAACAUCUCACGACACGAGCUGACGACAACCAUGCAGCACCUUCUCACCGGUUCCCCGAAGGGCACUCCCUAGUCUCCUAAGGAUUCCGGUGGAUUUAACCCAGGUAAGGUUCUUCGCGUUGCGUCGAAUUAAACCACAUGCUCCACCGCUUGUGCGGGCCCCCGUCAAUUCCUUUGAGUUUUAGCCUUGCGGCCGUACUCCCCAGGCGGGGCACUUAAUGCGUUAGCUGCGGCACGGAGAACGUGGAAUGUUCCCCACACCUAGUGCCCACCGUUUACGGCGUGGACU